UACAGAGGUCCCGAGCGUUGUUCGGAUUCAUUGGGCGUAAAGGGUGCGUAGGCGGCGGGGCAAGUCUGAUGUGAAAUCCCGGGGCUCAACCCCGGAACUGCAUUGGAUACUGCCUUGCUCGAGUACUGGAGAGGGAACUGGAAUUUACGGUGUAGCAGUGAAAUGCGUAGAGAUCGUAAGGAAGGCCAGUGGCGAAGGCGAGUUCCUGGACAGUUACUGACGCUGAGGCGCGACAGCGUGGGGAGCAAACAGG
rnacentral:rRNA from 1 species